CGGUUACGGUUAUAGCAUCUAACAUUGCUCCACCUGCAGCAGAAUGGCUGCUGAAUAACAUCAUCUGGAUCAACACCGAAGGGGACGACAGCUGUUUCUGAGCCUCCUGGAAGACGCGGGUGUACAGGAAAAUCAUCACCACCAGUGGCAAGUAGAAUGAGACAAUUGAGGAAGACACAGCGUACGCUGCAUUGGUGUUGAAAUCACAGCAGUAUUCGUCGGCCAAGCACUGAAGAGCCUCCGCAUUAUCUGACACCCACAAUUUCAGAUGGAUGGGCAGGAAGGAGAUGAGGGAGGCCACUGCCCAAACCCCAAGGACCACCGCAAAGGCCCGGCCUCUGGUCAGCAGAGGGAGACAGGAGAGCGCAGACAGGUACUCCAACCAGACCAACACGGGAUUGGAACUCAUUCUUGAGGAGAACUGCUGGAUCGGAUUUUCCUGCCCAUCUGCCAGUUUGGCAGUUAUAUAUAUAGCCUAUAGCCUCAGCCCCGUCAGCCUCAACCUGCUCUACGUUUCUGUUUUGUGAAUAAAUUCCUGAAACCUG